ensembl:misc_RNA
UUUGGGGGCGGUAUUUACCAACUCUUUUUCUCUGCCUCCACCCUGGUCUUGGCAGGGGCUUUGAGCCUCUUCUGUUUUCCAGCCAGUCCCAGAAAAAACGAAAACACAGCUUGGGAAGCCCCCACCAACUGAUGCCUGUGCCAGCUCACCUCUGGCCAUGGCGAGGCGGCUGGCGCACACAGGCAGCCAAGGCCAGCUCCGCGUCCUUCCCGCCCCUCCCGCUUCACUGGAGCCGGGAACCUUGUGUACAGACUGCCAAAGUCGACUGGGUCCUUCCUCACCAAAAAUGGAGAGACAAGAAUUCAUCUUGUCUGCUGAGAAGCCACAACCAG